GCCCUUGCAGCCCCUGCGCGCGCCGCCUAUAUUCGCCCUGUCCGGGGCAACCCGGACUAUGGUGAUAAACGCACCUGUAAUAAACGGCUCGGACCCGGGGGCGGUACCCGGCGGCUCCACCAUCACACCCGGCAUUGCGGGGGCGAGGGGCCGAAACAGGAUCGACGAACGUCUAAAGAGGCCAGCUUUCACCCGGUAGGCACCACCGUUAUCGGACCACAAGUGUAGUUGCCAAUGACAACCGCGCUCCGGUGGCUCUGGCUGCGUAAGCAGCUCGAACGCCGAAACUUAAGCCCUUGCGCUUAGCCGCGUAAGGCGGGGUUCGCAGGUACCUGGCAACAGAAACCUGCACC
rnacentral:tmRNA from 1 species